rnacentral:rRNA from 1 species
UAUGCAUACGCAGCUACCAUGCAGUCGAGCGGUAGAGAGAAGCUUGCUUCUCUUGAGAGCGGCGGACGGGUGAGUAAUGCCUAGGAAUCUGCCUGGUAGUGGGGGAUAACGUUCGGAAACGGACGCUAAUACCGCAUACGUCCUACGGGAGAAAGCAGGGGACCUUCGGGCCUUGCGCUAUCAGAUGAGCCUAGGUCGGAUUAGCUAGUUGGUGAGGUAAUGGCUCACCAAGGCGACGAUCCGUAACUGGUCUGAGAGGAUGAUCAGUCACACUGGAACUGAGACACGGUCCAGACUCCUACGGGAGGCAGCAGUGGGGAAUAUUGGACAAUGGGCGAAAGCCUGAUCCAGCCAUGCCGCGUGUGUGAAGAAGGUCUUCGGAUUGUAAAGCACUUUAAGUUGGGAGGAAGGGCAGUUACCUAAUACGUGAUUGUUUUGACGUUACCGACAGAAUAAGCACCGGCUAACUCUGUGCCAGCAGCCGCGGUAAUACAGAGGGUGCAAGCGUUAAUCGGAAUUACUGGGCGUAAAGCGCGCGUAGGUGGUUAGUUAAGUUGGAUGUGAAAUCCCCGGGCUCAACCUGGGAACUGCAUUCAAAACUGACUGACUAGAGUAUGGUAGAGGGUGGUGGAAUUUCCUGUGUAGCGGUGAAAUGCGUAGAUAUAGGAAGGAACACCAGUGGCGAAGGCGACCACCUGGACUGAUACUGACACUGAGGUGCGAAAGCGUGGGGAGCAAACAGGAUUAGAUACCCUGGUAGUCCACGCCGUAAACGAUGUCAACUAGCCGUUGGGAGCCUUGAGCUCUUAGUGGCGCAGCUAACGCAUUAAGUUGACCGCCUGGGGAGUACGGCCGCAAGGUUAAAACUCAAAUGAAUUGACGGGGGCCCGCACAAGCGGUGGAGCAUGGUGGUUUAAUUCGAAGCAACGCGAAGAACCUUACCAGGCCUUGAACAUCCAAUGAACUUUCUAGAAGAUGGAUGUGCCUUCGGGAACAUGAGAACAGGUGCUGCAUGCUGUCGUCAGCUCGUGUCGUGAGAUGUGAUAAGUCCGUAACGAGCGCAACCCUUGUCUUAGUACCAGCACGUAUGGUGGUACUCUAGGAACUGCGUGACAACGAGAGUGGGAUGACGUCAGUCAUCAUGUCCUACGGCUGC